AGACACCAGCUGAGGGUUUGCUUUGCUGUCUGCGCCACAGAGUUGUGCCCGACAGCUACACAAGUUUCUCAACAAGUUAAAAAGUAACCAUGAAGUUCUGUUUGUGGAUAGUUUUAUUUCUUUUUCUUCUUACUGGAGCAUUAACACAAGAUUUUGACCUGUCUGAUGCUUUGGAUGAUGUAGGUCUUGACCUGUCUGGUUUUUUGGAUGACUUAGUCCCACCAACUCCUGCAAAACCCAAAGAGCAGCCCAAGCCUCCAAAGCAGCCUGAUGGUGGCUUUGGACUGGACCUGGAGGAUGCAUUUGGCCCAGAAAAACCCACUGGAGGAGGUCUUGACCUGUCUGAUUUUUUGGAUGACUUAGUCCCACCAACUCCUGCAAAACCCCAAGAGCAGCCCAAGCCUCCAAAGCAGCCUGAUGGUGGCUUUGGACUGGACCUGGAGGAUGCAUUUGGCCCAGAAAAACCCACUGGAGGAGGUCUUGACCUGUCUGAUUUUUUGGAUGACUUAGUCCCACCAACUCCUGCAAAACCCAAAGAGCAGCCCAAGCCCCCAAAGCAGCCUGAUGGUGGCUUUGGACUGGACCUGGAGGAUGCAUUUGGCCCAGAAAAACCCACUGGAGGAGUUGAGUCCACAAACCUCAACUCAAACAUCUUGCCUGAAAGAUCUGGACCAAAAGCUGAACAGAAUCAUUGAGAAUCAAGAGAAGCUGCUGAAACUGCUGGAGCAGCAGCGCCCUCGCAACGCAUCUCGCUUUUGGUCCACACGCUGAGUGUGGACAUACAGGAAGACAUCUACCUGCAGAGGACAAGUCACCAGGGUGAUGAUGACUGGUGGGGGAAUCUCAGUUUGAAGAUUCUUUAUUAAACUUCAAUAAAUUAAUAAAGCAUUAUAAGCAUUAACUGUAAACAUUUGUGUACAUUCAUGUGGAUUGAAAUGAAUAGUAAACCAAAAGCGGUUACAAACUGAGGGAAUGAGUCUCCCUGGUGGGGUGCAGAGUGAUUGCAGGAGAGAACACACUUGCGGAGACAACAUUUGAACCUAAAGCUGAACAGAACAUUUAACCUGACAAGCACAGACAACAUUGUUAAUGCAUGGAAUCACAGUUAUAGCAGAAUGGAGCCCUUGUUAAUGCUGUAAGUGCCACUGGUGCUAUUCCAAGACAUCUGAUGCAUUAAUGAAUAUCAAAGAAACAAAAGUGGUCUGAUGUUUGCAAAAAUGUAUCAACAUUCAGGUUAGCAAAUGUUAUUCACAAAGCAAAUUAACAUCUAAUGCACAGGGCUGACUUAGAAGAAAAUCUGGUGAUGCUGAUCAAGUCCCAGAUGUGAAGAAACAUAUUGUUUGGCGACAGUUUGGAAGAAGAGCAUUGUGUCUUUUUGGCAAAUUUUAGCUUAACUUAGCUAUAUUAUUUUGUAUUGGCACAACAGAAACUUAGAGGAAAGAAGUGAAAAGAAACACAAUUCAUGUUUGACAAUGUAAUUUUAAUGAAAUUCAAUAAUGCAUCUUGAUGUAGUUUUCUGUAUGAGGCCUUUUUAAGUGACACAGAAGGAAAUCCUGAUAACAGUAACUAUGGUUUCAUUUCAUUAAAGGCCUGAACAUAUGACUUAGUGAUAUGACCUGUUGUGGGUGAUUGGACCUCCCCUGUCUGUGUGCAUGGACUCUGCACAGACUUAUACAUUCCCUCUGGCAGCCCUUUCAGCUCUGUUGCACAAACUGAGUCUGUCCCAGCAGCUCCCAACAGUGUCGAUAUCUACAUGAUAUCAAGUAUGCAGUUCGGCACGAUGUUAAAGUGCUCAUGAUGCUCAAGUUAAAUACAUAAAUGAUUAAAAUGCCACUAAAUGCACCAAAAAUGAUAAAAUAAGUAAAUGUUAAUAAAAUAAAGGCGUUAAUUGAUUUAAAAAA